UCACCAGGCUUACAGUACCGGUGUUACGUUGCACGGUCCUCGGGUGUGGACAACAGAAAAUGGUCAACCCAUUCUUUUUGGAGCAGAGAAACGUUGUACAAAAACAGCUCUACACGGUUCAUGCAUUCACAUGACCUCUGACCUAUGACUAUAAUGGUACUGUUUCAAGACCAAGCCAUGUGGGCGGUUGGCGCAAGUAAGUGCCAGCUAGGACCGUUGAAAUAAAUUUGGCAAAAGAGCACUUUUA